UACGUAGGGUGCGAGCGUUUGUCCGGAAUUACUGGGCGUAAAGAGCUCGUAGGUGGUUUGUCGCGUUGUCCGUGAAAACUCACAACUCAAUUGUGGCGUGCGGGCGGAUACGGGCAGACUGGAGUACUGCAGGGGAGACUGGAAUUCCUGGUGUAGCGGUGGAAUGCGCAGAUAUCGGGAGGAACACCUGUGGCGAAGGC
rnacentral:rRNA from 1 species